AGACGCUGAGAUGUUUAAUGCACAAGAGGCCGGAGAAAUCAGACCUGGAAAGUCACUGCUGCCCCAGAUUCCACCACAGAGAAGAGCUGUUGGAAUUUAACUGGACAUAAACUGAUGGGCAACAGGUGUGGAAAGGAUUCCUAUCUCCUACCUUAUGCAGGGAAUAGCAGAGACCUUUCAAGGGGAACUCGAGCCAUGUGAACCACAAAGCAGAGCACCUCUGGGAAUCCAUCCGUCCUUCAGAAUCGUUGAAAUCAAGACUGUGUGCAGCUGAUCACCCAGCUUAUAGUCCAGGAAGGGAAGUCAGGGAGAGGACCUGGAGGCCGGAACUGAAGCCGAGGCCAUGGAAGAGAGCUGCUUACGGGCUUGUUACCCAUGGCUUGUUCAGCCUGCUUUCAUUCUUUUUUAAAA